rnacentral:rRNA from 1 species
UCGGGAAUUUUGGGCAAUGGGCGAAAGCCUGACCCAGCAACGCCGCGUGAAGGAUGAAGUAUUUCGGUAUGUAAACUUCGAAAGAAUAGGAAGAAUAAAUGACGGUACUAUUUAUAAGGUCCGGCUAACUACGUGCCAGCAGCCGCGGUAAUACGUAGGGACCAAGCGUUGUUCGGAUUUACUGGGCGUAAAGGGCGCGUAGGCGGCAAUUCAAGUCAUCUGUGAAAUCUCCGGGCUUAACUCGGAACGGUCAGAUGAUACUGCUUUGCUAGAGUGCAGAAGGGGCAAUCGGAAUUCUUGGUGUAGCGGUGAAAUGCGUAGAUAUCAAGAGGAACACCUGAGGUGAAGACGGGUUGCUGGGCUGACACUGACGCUGAGGCGCGAAAGCCAGGGGAGCAAACGGGAUUAGAUACCCGAGUAGUCCCUGAG